GAUGAACGCUGGCGGCGUGCCUAAUACAUGCAAGUAGAACGCUGAAGGAGGAGCUUGCUCUUCUGGAUGAGUUGCGAACGGGUGAGUAACGCGUAGGUAACCUGCCUGGUAGCGGGGGAUAACUAUUGGAAACGAUAGCUAAUACCGCAUGACAACAGUUAUUGCAUGAUAACUGUUUAAAAGGGGCAACUGCUCCACUACCAGAUGGACCUGCGUUGUAUUAGCUAGUUGGUGAGGUAACGGCUCACCAAGGCGACGAUACAUAGCCGACCUGAGAGGGUGAUCGGCCACACUGGGACUGAGACACGGCCCAGACUACUACGGGAGGCAGCAGUAGGGAAUCUUCGGCAAUGGACGGAAGUCUGACCGAGCAACGCCGCGUGAGUGAAGAAGGUUUUCGGAUCGUAAAGCUCUGUUGUAAGAGAAGAACGAGUGUGAGAGUGGAAAGUUCACACUGUGACGGUAUCUGACCAGAAAGGGACGGCUAACUACGUG
rnacentral:rRNA from 1 species